rnacentral:rRNA from 1 species
GACGAACGCUGGCGGCGUGCUUCACACAUGCAAGUCGAACGAAGUGGCGAACGGGUGAGUAACGCGUAAUAAACCUGACCUUAAGAGGGGGACAACAGUUGGGAACGAAUGAUAAUACCGCAUACUGAAGGAGGGGAUUGCGUCUGAUUCGCUCGUUGGAGGGGUAAGGAGCCAACAAGGCGAUGAGCAGUAGCCGGGCUGAGAGGAUGAACGGCCACAUUGGGACUGAGACACGGCCCAGACUCCUACGGGAGGCAGCAGUGGGGAAUCUUCCGCAAUGGACGAAAGUCUGACGGAGCAACGCCGCGUGAGUGAUGACGGCCUUCGGGUUGUAAAGCUCUGUUAAUCGGGACGCGGUACCGGAAUAGAAAGCCACGGCUAACUACGUGCCAGCAGCCGCGGUAAUUC